UGGGGGAAAAUUAGUAUAUAAAAUUAUAAUAAAAAUAAUUUUAAUAAAAUAUGAUGGGGUUAAAGUAUUUUAUAAAGAAAAAAUUGUUUAAUUUAUAAAGAAUUAGUAUUGUGAAAGAAAUUUGAAAUAUUUGAAAAUUAAUUAAUUUAAUAGUAAAUUUUAAUUAUUGUAUCUUGUGUAUCAGAGUUUAUUAAUAAAGAUUUUUAUAAAAAAAAAAUUCUCGAAUUUGAAAGAGUUAAUUAGUUAAAAAAAUUAUUGUUGCAAAAAUAUUUUUCAUAAUUAAUUAGAAAUGAAAUGUUAAUCGUUUUUAAAUAUAUCUAGUUUUUUUAGAAAAAAAUUUAAUUUUAAAUUAUUUUAAUUAAAAAUUUAAAUAAUAAAAUUUUUAAAAAAUUAAAUUUAAUAUUUUAAGGGAUAAGCUUUAAUUUAAAUUUUUAUAAUAGUUUUUUUUUAUUAAUUGAAAAUUUUAAAAUUUAUAUUGUUUAAAAAUUAUAAUUUUUUAUAAAUAAUUUCAAAAUAAAAUAAAAUUUAAAAAAUUAAAUUUAAAUUUUUAUAAAAUAAGUAAAAUUUAAUAUUAUAAUUUUAGUUAUAAUGAUAAAAUUAGUAUAUGAAUAUAUAAUAUAAAAAUUAUUAAAUAUGAAUUAGUGGAAAAUUAAUUAUAAGGAAUUCGGCAAAUUUUUAUAUUCACUUGUUUAUCAAAAACAUGUCUUUUUGAAAUAAUUUAAAGUCUAAUCUGCCCACUGAUAAAAAUUAAAGGGCUGCAGUAUUUUGACUGUACAAAGGUAGCAUAAUCAUUAGUCUCUUAAUUGGUGACUUGUAUGAAAGAUUGGAUGAGAUAUAAACUGUCUUAUUAUUAUUAAUAAAAUUUAAUUUUUUAGUUAAAAAGCUAAAAUAUUUUUAAAAGACGAGAAGACCCUAUAGAGUUUUAUAUUAAAGUUAAUUAUAAAUUUUUAUAUUAAUGUUAAGUUUGAAUUAAUUUUAAUAUUUUGUUGGGGUGAUAAAAAAAUAAAAUUAACUUUUUUUUAUAUUAUAUAUAUAUAUAUAUAUAUAUAUAUAACAUUAAUUAAUGAAUAAAUGAUCCAUAAAUUAUGAUUAAAAGAUUAAAUUACCUUAGGGAUAACAGCGUAAUUUUUUUUUUUAGUUCAAAUAAAAAAGAAAGUUUGCGACCUCGAUGUUGGAUUAAGAUAAAAUUUAAAUGCAAAAGUUUAAAAUUUUGAUCUGUUCGAUCAUUAAAAUCUUACAUGAUCUGAGUUCAAACCGGUGUAAGCCAGGUUGGUUUCUAUCUUUAUAUACAUUAAAUAUUUUAGUACGAAAGGAUCAAAUAUUUAAAAUAAUUUUAUUUUAUAAGAAUAUUACUAAAUGUAUUUGUUUAAAUUAA
rnacentral:rRNA from 1 species